rnacentral:rRNA from 1 species
CUACGGGGGGCUGCAGGCGAGAAAACUUUGCAAUGUGCGAAAGCACGACAAGGUUAAUCCGAGUGGUUUGUGCUAAACGAACCUUUUGACAGUCCUAGAAACACUGUUGAAUAAGGGGUGGGCAAGUUCUGGUGUCAGCCGCCGCGGUAAAACCAGCACCUCAAGUGGUUAGGAUGAUUAUUGGGCCUAAAGCAUCCGUAGCCGGCUCUGUAAGUUUUCGGUUAAAUCUGUACGCUCAACGUACAGGCUGCCGGGAAUACUGCAGAGCUAGGGAGUGGGAGAGGUAGACGGUACUCGGUAGGAAGGGGUAAAAUCCUUUGAUCUAUUGAUGACCACCUGUGGCGAAGGCGGUCUACCAGAACACGUCCGACGGUGAGGGAUGAAAGCUGGGGGAGCAAACCGGAUUAGAUACCCUCGUAGUC